AAUGGGCUCCACAGGGAAAGCUGAUGAAGUCAGCCACAGGAAGUGAUGGCGCCUCGGCUGCAGCCACUCUGCCCAGCGUCUCCCAUCCUCUGACAGCACCAUAUUUCAGUGGACUCUUUCUACACGACAGCCUGUACUGUCCCUGUCUCCUCUGGGUGUCAAUGGGACGCCUCCCAUCAUCAGAUGGGUGAUUUCACAUCCUGGUGGCGGCAACAGUCUUUUCUGUAGCAGAGUAACGUGGCCUGACUCCAGACAGCUUGGUGACCCCUCCUUAGUUCUUGGCUGGCUGCUCUGAUCCAUCUCGUGAUGUGCGUGAGAAGAUGAGCUGGGUUGGAAAUUCUUACCACAUGAUCACUGCUACUCUUGGAGAGAGUGUGUGUGUGUUUGCCUGUGUCUCUGGAACACAUCAUGUUAAGUUACACUCAAGAAAAUAAGAACAGGGGAUGCCUGUGGGUUUGCCAUACUGCCUUCUGUGUGCCUUCUACUAGCCAUUAAUCACUCUGUUAGUUAACCGCUGAGCUGCUGAUGUAUUUAUCUUAAUGAGCAACUAAAUGAGAGAAACCAAAGUCUGGCCUUCCAAGAGGCCUGGUCUACAAGGCCAACUGAGACCAGGUCACACCUAAACUGAUCUUCAGCUCCACGAUGUUCCAGGUGACUCACCACACGCCUGAGUGAUCCCAGAGAGUCCAGGUUUGGUUUAGGGCUGUGUAUCUGGGGAAAUCACACACUGGCAGAGGAGAAAAACACAGAUCGUAUACUGCCCCCAGUGGACAACUGGUUGAACAGUUUAACAGCGCACCCCUCACUCACACUGGAUCAACACUGCCACCUAUAGGCAGUCUCUGGAUGCACAGGCUCACACUAGGUUUUCUCACUAGAUAGAGAAUAAAUGUUUCUUGGUUUCAUUUGUUGUGUUUUGGAAAGUAUUUCAACAUCGCAUUUUAAUUACGAAAUGCCAAUGUUUGAUUUAAACGAAGAAAAGGCAAUUGCAACAAAUAGGUGCCAUACAUUGUGAGAUGCUUUCGUGACCGCAGAUUAACGAUCUGCACAGAGACGGUGGGUAAACAAGUGACAUGAAUAACUUCCAGACAGGAAGUUAGAGAUUUGAAUGGGAUCUUAAAGCGGCAAUCACCAGUUUAAUCAACAGCAAAGUGAUGUCCUGCUCCCUGUUUCAGUAAAAAGCUGAGGGAUGGGGCUGGAGAAAUUUAACCAGAGCUAACACUGACCGUCCAUUAUAUAAAAAUGAUAAUUUUCACCAUG